GAUGAACGCUGGCGGCGUGCUUAACACAUGCAAGUCGAACGGAAAGGCCCAAGCUUGCUUGGGUACUCGAGUGGCGAACGGGUGAGUAACACGUGGGUGAUCUGCCCUGCACUUCGGGAUAAGCCUGGGAAACUGGGUCUAAUACCGGAUAGGACCACUUCUUGGAUGUUGUGGUGGAAAGUUUUUUCGGUGUGGGAUGAGCUCGCGGCCUAUCAGCUUGUUGGUGGGGUAAUGGCCUACCAAGGCGUCGACGGGUAGCCGGCCUGAGAGGGUGUACGGCCACAUCGGGACUGAGAUACGGCCCAGACUCCUACGGGAGGCAGCAGUGGGGAAUAUUGCACAAUGGGCGCAAGCCUGAUGCAGCGACGCCGCGUGGGGGAUGACGGCCUUCGGGUUGUAAACUCCUUUCGCUAGGGACGAAGCGUUUUGUGACGGUACCUGGAGAAGAAGCACCGGCUAACUACGUG
rnacentral:rRNA from 1 species